CCAGACUGCGUCCGCUCGUCUCCCCCUCUCCCCGACCGCAGAUUGCUCCCUGCCUCGAGCCUCCCUCAGUCAGUCCGCUGUCCGCGCCUAGGGUUCGGGGGUGGCGCCGCGGUGGCUGGCGGCGCGCCGGCGGCAGCACUGCUGCGAGCUGCCGAGCUACUACCAGCGCACGCCGCGGAGCUAGACUUCAGGAGGGCCGAGGGCAUGACGUGCGUGCGUGCUGGCAGCUAGCCUGCGAUUGCCUACUGCAAUUCGCAAAUUUGCAAGCUUCGACGAAUCGACGGAGCCACAGUCCACAGAGGCAAGCAGCGUGCGUGGUCCAAGCCCGCUCGUGGAUGACUGUGCUGCGAUCCCUGCACUGUGGCAGGCCCUGUCGGCCGGAGCAGCUAUCUUCUGUGCGAGACGAGUAGAGUAACCACAGCCACAAUUACUCCCAUUUUUUUUGAUAAUCACAUCUACUCCCAUGUUAAUUACUAUAACUUGGAAUGGAUCACCAAAGCCUUUGACUCGAGAGGUACUGCGGUCUGUGGUGCUCAUCGGUCGCUGCUACGAGCUUUCAUGGAGUAUGCUACUAGCAUCUAGCUUGAAAAGAUUUCCAUUUCAUUCAUUUUAACUGUGUGACUGUAACUGUACGCAUGCUAACCGGAAUCAUGCGUGUGGGGUUCUAGAUUGUUGCUGUUUUUAUUACCCACAGGUCAAAAAGGUACGCCCAGGAAGAAGGGGUACGGUUGAGGCAGUCCAACCUUUUUGUCAGUAGCAGAACUCAUCAGAGGCCAGUGGCCAGGUCCAGGUGCUCUUUACAGGAAAGAGGUACUAGUAGACUGUGAAAGGAAGCGGUGUCAGAAGCGUGAAGUAGCACAGUGCUCGCCGUACGUGGUGUGGUGGAGAGGAGACGGAGCAUGCGCGCUCGAUGGCAGAUGCAGAACGUACCGUUUGUUUUCCGUCGCCGUGGGCCCGCCAUGCCUAUGCUCCUCGAUCGAUCCCUUGACUCCAUAGCAGCAACGGACACCGGCACGUCCCAAAUUGUUCCGGCUUCCCUGUCGCCUUCCCAUCUUGAUCAUGCGUAUGCAAGCUGCUUCGAUUGGAUGACAGGAGCAGCUCACGAGCUCCCCUGCGGCUCUGUUUGGUCCGUCACAGCCUAAUCAAUCUCCCUCCCUCCCUCCCUCCCUCUCAGAAUAUGGAAAGAAAAAAAUGCUUACAUGUACUAUGGCCGUGCGUGCAAAGCGAGGCAGAUGAUCAGAGGAGACAAGUUUUGGGACGCUGCUGGUGGUCUGGACGUGAUGGUGUUCGUACUAGCAGAGGGCAGCGGUUAAUCAGGCACGACGAGCUGACAAGUUUCGGUUGUUGCCGCCUGCCGCGUGGCCGUCCACCUGGGCGCCUAGUGCCUGGCCGCUCAGGCCUAGGGCGCCGGCUGCCUGGGCGCCAGCAGGCAGGGAGCUGAGGCCCUGGGCGCCGGCGGAUGCCUGCAGGGCGCCAGCAGCCUGAGCUGUGAGGCCAUGGGCACCGGCUGCCUGGGCGUUGAGGCCCUAGGCGCCGACUGCCUCUGGGCCGAGCGCCUGGGUGUCGGCUGCCUGAGGGGGCCCCGGCCAUGGCCCCGUGCCCUAGCGCGUCGAGAUCCUAGCCGCUAGGGACGGGUGUUCUGGUGGCGGGAGCGGGCGGCAGGAAGGGCCGGCGACUCAUUUUGUCGGCGACCUCCGGCCACGGAUGCUCCGAAGGGAGAGGGCGGCGGCGCCCUAGAUGGACCUGGCGGCGAGGAACAUGAAGCCGCGGCGGGGAAGAAGAAAGGUCGGGGGCAGAAGGGGGCGAGGGCGUCGAGGUUUUUUUUUGCCGAAAUGGUACCUCCUGUAAUAUUAUUGGUGGGAAAUUACCCUACAACUUCACGAGAAGGUAUGAAAAUAGAAUUUCUAGAGCACCCUUUAAGGAGCUCCCCAAUCCCCAAAAUUCAUGGAGCUAGCCCGUAGCUCUAUAUUUUUUUUUUCCGGAGUCGGAGUUCGUGGAGCUGAAUUUAGGAGUGGAGCUGAAAAACUUGGAGCGAAGCGGUCCACCCUUAUCCUUGGCCGGCAGGGGUAAGAGAUGGUUUUUCAGUUUGCUGUUCUCUUCUCUGCAUGCCUUCUUGCCCCAGUUCACUCAUGACACUUGCACUUCAAUUCUGAAUCAGGCGCAAGCCACGUUCUGUCCAUGUCAACAGCCAG